GACGAACGCUGGCGGCGUGCCUAAUACAUGCAAGUCGAACGCUUCUUUCCUCCCGAGUGCUUGCACUCAAUUGGAAAGAGGAGUGGCGGACGGGUGAGUAACACGUGGGUAACCUACCCAUCAGAGGGGGAUAACACUUGGAAACAGGUGCUAAUACCGCAUAACAGUUUAUGCCGCAUGGCACAAGAGUGAAAGGCGCUUUCGGGUGUCGCUGAUGGAUGGACCCGCGGUGCAUUAGCUAGUUGGUGAGGUAACGGCUCACCAAGGCCACGAUGCAUAGCCGACCUGAGAGGGUGAUCGGCCACACUGGGACUGAGACACGGCCCAGACUCCUACGGGAGGCAGCAGUAGGGAAUCUUCGGCAAUGGACGAAAGUCUGACCGAGCAACGCCGCGUGAGUGAAGAAGGUUUUCGGAUCGUAAAACUCUGUUGUUAGAGAAGAACAAGGACGUUAGUAACUGAACGUCCCCUGACGGUAUCUAACCAGAAAGCCACGGCUAACUACGUG
rnacentral:rRNA from 1 species